GGGGAAUUUUCCGCAAUGGGCGAAAGCCUGACGGAGCAAUACCGCGUGAGGGAUGACGGCCUAUGGGUUGUAAACCUCUUUUUUCAGGGAGGAAUAAAUGACGUGUACCUGAAGAAUAAGCAUCGGCUAACUCCGUGCCAGCAGCCGCGGUAAUACGGAGGAUGCAAGCGUUAUCCGGAAUGAUUGGGCGUAAAGCGUCCGUAGGUGGUUCUGUAAGUCUGCUGUUAAAGCGUGAGGCUUAACCUCAUACAGGCGGUGGAAACUACAGGACUAGAGUACGUUCGGGGCAGAGGGAAUUCCUGGUGUAGCGGUGAAAUGCGUAGAGAUCAGGAAGAACACCGGUGGCGAAAGCGCUCUGCUAGGCCGUAACUGACACUGAGGGACGAAAGCUAGGGGAGCGAAUGGGAUUAGAUACCCCAGUAGUC
rnacentral:rRNA from 1 species